GUCCUAACUUAGAAGUACAUUGUAAUUUGACAUUUCUUUUUUAACCAAUAAACAUUAAGCUCCAAAUUUGUCCUAAUUGUGAUAAUAGCGUCUAGAUAGGAAGUUGAAUUUACCAUUGUUAUUUUGCUAAUUCUGCCUCGAAAUAGAAUUCAGCUGCUUUAGAAUGAUGUAGAAAACAGGAAGGCAAAUCACUGGAAGAAUUAGUAAGCAGUAUCUAAGUUGUUAAAGAG